rnacentral:rRNA from 1 species
AGCGAACGCUGGCGGCAGGCUUAACACAUGCAAGUCGAGCGGGCAUCCUUGUGGUGUCAGCGGCAGACGGGUGAGUAACGCGUGGGAACGUGCCCUUCGGUUCGGAAUAACUCAGAGAAACUUGAGCUAAUACCGGAUACGUGCGAGAGCAGAAAGGUUUAUCUGCCGAAGGAUCGGCCCGCGUCUGAUUAGCUAGUUGGUGAGGUUAUGGCUCACCAAGGCGACGAUCAGUAGCUGGUCUGAGAGGAUGAUCAGCCACACUGGGACUGAGACACGGCCCAGACUCCUACGGGAGGCAGCAGUGGGGAAUAUUGGACAAUGGGGGCAACCCUGAUCCAGCCAUGCCGCGUGAGUGAUGACGGCCUUAGGGUUGUAAAGCUCUUUUCUUCGGGACGAUAAUGACGGUACCGGAGGAAUAAGCCCCGGCUAACUUCGUG